CGCGGAGUCCCAAGCACUGGACCGCCUGGGAAUUCCCCGGGACGGGGUAGGGUGGUUCCAUUCUCUAAAUGAGCUGUUGAAGAAAAGAGGUUUUUGCAUGAGAGCCGUGAUUCCACUGUCCCACAAGCUUUUCUGUGUGUUUGGAAUGGUUUCCACGACGGAAUCUCAAUUUGUAUACAAGUUGAGGAGUAGAAAGUCAGUCUUGCCCAAGCUCGCAGCCCCCAGCCUCCAGGAGCCUCACCCAAAGGUCAUGGCCAGCCACCCCUGCUGCCCAUUUCCUGGAUUCCUUCCAGGGGUAUUCCGUGGAUACACCCGACUGUGUUCAUAUACAUUUGUAUCCUUUCUGGAUCGUGAUUAUUCUGAUAAAUGGUGGUGUAGGACAUACACCUCCCCAAACUGUCCCAGCUCAGAGCACAAAGGGCCUCCUAAUUCAUUUUAUGGCUGUGAGUGGACAAUUGGGCUGUUUCUGUUCUUUAGCCCAGAAAGCUCUUGGGCUACACUGUCUUAAUAUACUCGUGAAUGACCCUGGUACGGCCCAGGCUGAAUGUUCUGAUGGCUGGUUCUGAUUCAGUGACUUUUAUUUUAUUUUUAGUUAUCUUGAUUACCUUGAAUUUCAACUAUGUAGUACACAAUCUAGUCUUGUGCCAUGGACUUUGGAGCAAGACCAUCUGGCUUCGAAUCUCUAGUCUGCUACUUAUAAGCUGUGUGACCUUGGGGAACCUGAGUUUGUAGUCUCCCCAGGAAGAUGUACCAGACCUCACACAGGCAAACACAGGCUCAGAGAAGGGGAGCGACUUUCUGGGAAUCACACAGUGCACUGGAUGCCUUGAGUAUGUUUGAAGGACACAAGAGAUAAUUUUAAAGGAAGUUUUUUUUGUUUUGUUUUGCAGCUUCCAUUGCAUCAAGCAGAGUGAUGGAUAUUCAGUAAGAGCGGAUAUUCAGGAAGUUGCUGCCCAGACCACCGUGAAGGAAGGAAACAAAUAAUGUUCAUUUUAGGAGCUACAAUGUAACAAUCUCCGUAACAUUGUUUAUGAUAAGCUUAAGAAGGGCGACCCUAACAUGUUUCCCUAGUGCUGCGGUUAUCACGUUCUCCUCACAAUAGAAAGGUCCCCGGUUCGAUCCCCAGCAGAAACAUUUCUACAUCUUUACUGUAGAAUUUUAAAAUUUGCUUCAAAGUAAUUUCAGUAGAAAUUCAGCGUCGGUGCCUUUUUCUUUUUUCUUAUUUCUCUAGUCUUUUUUAGAUAUUAUGGAAUUUAAAAAGUUAUUGCAAAGUAACACAAACUCUAGGUCGAUGUUUGACGAGAAAGUUUUAAGUGGACGGUAAAACUAAGAAAAAGCUGUAAAACGCACCUGCGUUGGCCGGGAAUCGAACCCGGGUCAACUGCUUGGAAGGCAGCUAUGCUAACCACUAUACCACCAACGCUUGGACGAACACGUUUUUCUCUAGGAGCCUUUAGUAGAAGUAUUAUCGGUUAGGCCGGGCAAUACCAAGUUACUGGGGGUGUCUCUCCCAACGUCCCUGCUCGCACAGGAAGACGCCACGUUUAGGACGUUUCACCCCACUUGCCGCGGGGCCGUGCUGGCGCGUUCCCCUCCCCAGCGCCCCGGACUCCUUGGUGCCGGCCGGGAGGUGGCCAAUCCCAGGCCGCCGCCUGGGCCGCUCGACUUCCG